rnacentral:rRNA from 1 species
UACGGAGGGUGCAAGUGUUAUUCGGAAUCACUGGGCGUAAAGAGCACGUAGGCGGAUAGGCAAGUCAGAUGUAAAAUCCCGGAGCUCAGCUCCGGAACUGCAUUUGAUACUGCCUGUCUUGAGUGAGGUAGAGGGGAGUGGAAUUCCCGGUGUAGAGGUGAAAUUCGUAGAUAUCGGGAGGAACACCAGAGGCGAAGGCGACUCCCUGGGCCUCUACUGACGCUGAGGUGCGAAAGCGUGGGGAGCAAACAGGAUUAGAUA